GUUUGAAGACCCUCUAAACCCAAAGGCCUCAAAGUAUCCUCUUCUACCAGCACAAAAGAAGGAAGUUUGUGUGGUGAAAAUGGCUCCAGUUGCCGCCUGAACCCAAGCCCCCUUUGUUCUUAUGCAGAGUACUCUGAAGCCCGGAAGACUGAAUGGGCCAGACCCCAGACCUGUCACCUCUCCACUGCCCACAAACAAGGCAAAACCAACCCACACUUAAGUCUUUCCUUGCCAGCAUAAAGGAAGUCUCAGCUCAUUUGCCAAAAAUAUGUUCCCCUCCUUAAACUAUGUAACAGAUAAAAAAGCAGUUUUUGAUUAGUGUGGGUCAUUUGUUUCCUUAUGGUAUCUGCUGAACUUGUGGGGUUCACAUCCAGCCUGGGCCAACAGUCUGAGCCGCUCUGCAAUGCAGUUUUCCCUAUAGGCAGCCCGCCUUGUCUUUCAUCUGGUGCAAUGGGCCUGUGGCUUGAGCCCACAUCCAGGUUUCCUAAUGCUGUCUUCCUUUUGAAGCUAGGCUGUGCUGUGUGGGAUCCAGUGGUCUGUUCUUUACUGGAGGUAUGUGUCAAGUGUCUCCAUCUACACAUGCGGAAUGAGGUGUCUGUAUCUGCAGUACCUUCCCAGACCAAGCGUCCACAGGAAAAUAUGUACUAAAAACAUAGUAUUCUGAUAAUAUUCUGAGCUUUUUUUUUUUUCAGCCAGUGUAUUCGUUUGCAGGGGUAAUAUGAGCAGCUGUGAUUGCCUUUUAAAUUAAUGAUUUUCCACACAGAGCUUAAAGAAUAAGUAAAAAAAAAAUCCAGUAUCUUCCUUUGCGUGCAUACAUGUGGGUGUGCUUGUAAAGUUUACAAUAUAUAAACUGAACUUGUAACUGAUCAAGUAGGAUAGACAAUAAAACUUGACACUGGAAGUCAGAAAAAAAUAGAUGUUUUGUUUUAUAGCACCAAAUGUAGCUUGAGUCUUUACAAAGGCUAUUGUUUUAUCAGCUUCUUUUUGUAGUCAUUUAUCUUUGGGCUAGACUUGGAUUCACUUUAAACGUUCUUGGAAGAUCAUAUAGGAACAAAAACUGAAAAUCAUGAGACUGUUUCUGUAUCUGUGAGAAAAGAAAAUGUCUGACUUCCACACUCGAGGCAGAACUGGUGACAUGUGAAGAGAUUCACAGAAGCCAGCUUCUAGGAGCGAAGCCAUGGACUCGGUGGCAGGGAACCCAGGUACCUUUUAUCAGGAAAACCCUGGCUAGCAGCUUCUGCUGCUGUUCUGAGGCUUGUGCAAAGCAUCUUAGGUGAGGCCAGGAGGUAAGACAUUGGCAGUGGCCAGUGGGAGCUUUCUGAAGUUGUAAGUGGGAGGGUGAAUCAGUGCUUGCAACUUUGCUAACUAUGUCAGUUUGGGUUAUGGUGGGAUGCUGUCUCUGAUCUUAGUGAGCCCUCUUUGCUGGAAGUGACUCAUUCUGUCUCCUGCUUUGCAUUUCCCUGUGAGAAGCUUGUCAGAAUGGGGGGGGGGNNNNNNNNNNNNNNNNNNNNNNNNNUGAAUUGGGGGGACUCUGUUGCUGAGCUUGCUGAGCGAGCAAGGCAUGUGCUCUCUUUCCCACCAGGAAGGUCAGGCCACUGGGGGCCAAUCUGUUUUCUAAAAUGAACCCUCCUGUCUGUCCCUGGUGUCUGACAGAUUGAAACAGUUGUCUGUGUGGCUGCACUUUCAACGGUGCCUAAAUGUGUUGCUUUCUGGGAAAAACACGCAGGCUGUGUUAUAGAAAAGGAAUUCUUAAGGAUUGGACUUUGGAUGUUAAUAUUUAUCUAAAUGGCAAAUUUAAUUAACUUUCUAAGAACAUAUUUACAGAUGCAGUGAAUUAACUGUAGGUACUGUACACAAACACACAUACACACACUCACACACCUAGAUAAGCCUUCACUCCAGCUCUACUUCUAAAGACUGAGUGUUUAACUAGAGC
ensembl:sense_intronic Gm43111 predicted gene 43111